GUGGGAUGCCGUGGGAGGAGCGGGUGUAACUCCUGGGACCCGCACACUAGUGCUUCAGCGCCGCCACUCGUCCUGUGGAGCCACCAAAGCAGCUAAUUUCUCUGGAAUGCCGGCGAGGUGAUGUUCCUCGCGACCUCUAACCUCUCCCGGGACUGCACGCCCGGUGCGUUCCACGCAUGCUCAGUCUUUCUGGGCCGUCCCGGGAGCUGGCUCCCCGGACGACUGUUGAGAGAACUGUCUCGAGUUCCGGUGCCCAGACAAGUGCAGGAGAGGCAGCUCCUCUGAGGGAAGGAGAGCCGGAGCUUGAAGACCCUCCCUGUCGUGAGGAGCGGGGCCGUCCAGCUGCCCCCCUCUUUUCCCAUGUCGGUCCCGCGCGAAAGCCCCCGAAAAAGCGCCAAGUGCCAUGGGGCUGGACCCUCACCCCUCCCCGCCGCGGUGGCCUGUGUCCAGGUGUCCCAGGCGCGGCGUAACUAGGCUGCUGUUCAAAAGGUCACCCCGAGGACACUCACGCAUGCCCAGUUGGAGGGUCCAUGGUCCUAGCCGGUCUUAACCAGCUCAGCUCGAAGUAAACACAGCUGACUCCAAGUUUCUGGAAGAGAACUCUGACAAACAUCUUAUUGUUUAGGCUACACGGAGCUUGGAGGCCAUGCAAGUCUUAAAACGACCUGGAUUAGCGAAGGCAGAUGAGGAAACUAAAGCUCAGAGGGGUUGUGACCAGCCUUAGGUCACCUACCUGUGAAGUGAAG